rnacentral:rRNA from 1 species
AUUGAACGCUGGCGGCGUGCUUUACACAUGCAAGUCGGACGAGUGGCGAACGGGUGAGUAACGCAUCGGAACGUCCCGAGUACUGGGGGAUAACUGUCCGAAAGGACAGCUAAUACCGCAUAUUAUUCGAGCGGCCGAUGUCUGAUUAGCUGGUUGGCGGGGUAAAGGCCCACCAAGGCGACGAUCAGUAGCGGGUCUGAGAGGAUGAUCCGCAACACUGGGACUGGGAAACGGCCCAGACUCCUACGGAAGGCAGAAGUGGGGAAUUUUGGACAAUGGGCGCAAGCCUGACCAAGCCAGGCCGCGUGUCUGAAGAAGGCCUUCGGGUUGUAAAGGACUUUUGUAAGGGAAGCGGUACCUGAAGAAUAAGCACCGGCUAACUACGUGCCAGCAGCCGCGGUAAUAC